UGCUGUUUGCAGGGCCGCCUCGGA
rnacentral:miRNA from 1 species